AUGAUUAUGGCGGAAUAGGAAGACGCGAUUAGUUUAGGUCUAAUUUACUAUAAAGGUAAAUAAGGGUUCAAAUCCCUUUAAUCAUA
rnacentral:tRNA from 1 species